AGCACCCUUGCCUUCUAGCAACCUAGCCCAUGAGAUACUCCCAAGCAGGUCCCAGAAGAGGUCAAAGUUGGCUCUCUGAAAUUCCAGGGUAGCAAUCCGGCUUUUAGCCUUACUUCUUCCACCAAGUUCCAUCUUGAACUCCACCAUCUCAUGGUCGCUGCAUCCCAAGCUGCCCCCAACCUUCACAUCCCUAACAAGCCCAUCCCUGUUGGUAAGGACAAGGUCCAGAAGCACCCCCCGCCUCAUCAGCUCCUCCACCACCUGCGUCAGAAAAUUGUCUUCAACGCAUUGUACGAACCGUUUGGACUGCGCGUGCCUGGCCGAGUUGCUUACUCAACAGAUGUCUGGACAAUUGAAGUCCCCUAUGAGACCAGCACCCGUGAUCAUGAGGCUACUACCAGCUGCUUGUAGAAGGCCUCAUCGACCUCCUCUUCCUGAUCUGGUGGGUAAGCAACUCGGCCAGGCACGCGCAGUCCAAACGGUUCGUACAAUGCGUUGAAGACAAUUUUCUGACGCAGGUGGUGGAGGAGCUGAUGAGGCGGGGGGUGCUUCUGGACCUUGUCCUUACCAACAGGGAUGGGCUUGUUAGGGAUGUGAAGGUUGGGGGCAGCUUGGGAUGCAGCGACCAUGAGAUGGUGGAGUUCAAGAUGGAACUUGGUGGAAGAAGUAAGGCUAAAAGCCGGAUUGCUACCCUGGAAUUUCAGAGAGCCAACUUUGACCUCUUCUGGGACCUGCUUGGGAGUAUCUCAUGGGCUAGGUUGCUAGAAGGCAAGGGUGCU